CUGUAUGAACGGGAAAAUGAAAGACCUCUUCGAGUAGCAAGCACAGACGUGCGCUAUGUUCUUAGAAUGUUGUUGUGAUCGUCUCCAAGACAGGACGACGAUGGGGGAAACGUAGACGGCUUCGCUUCUUUGGGCCCAAAAAGAAGAAGAGUCGUCCUCAAGACUGCGCGUCAUCGAGCCAGGCCGUCCUCUAGACACAACAUGGCAACUCAGAUAGAGACGAUAGACAGAUGAUGACCAUAUGGACACACAGCGAUCUCCAGGACAUUUGCCGUUGACGCAGAAGAAAUACUAUUUGUUUCCUCAUUGGAUGGUGUGGAUACAGUCGUUGCCUGGCCGGGCCCCAUACAUCCACCCAUAACGAGCAGCCCGAGGUCGGUAGCACUCUUUUAAUUAGUUGUUAUUAUUAUUGAUAUUUGUAUUUGUCACGGGUGGACGGAACAGGAAAGAACACUGGCUGGAUGUGAAUCAGUUGCUGACAACACAGAGGACAACCAGAGUCACACACA